rnacentral:rRNA from 1 species
UUAAGUGAAUAAGGGCGCACGGUGGAUGCCUUGGCACUAGGAGCCGAUGAAGGACGGGACUAACACCGAUAUGCUUUGGGAGCUGUACGUAAGCUAUGAUCCAGAGAUUUCCGAAUGGGGGAACCCAACAUCUUUAAUAGGAUGUUACGAUUGUGUGAAUACAUAGCACAUUCGAGGUAGACGCAGAGAACUGAAACAUCUAAGUACCUGCAGGAAGAGAAAGAAAAUUCGAUUCCCUGAGUAGCGGCGAGCGAAACGGGAAAAGCCCAAACCAGCAAGCUUGCUUGUUGGGUUGUAGGACUCCAAUAUGGUAGUUCUUUCAGAUAGUCGAAUGACUUGAAAAGUCAGUCAAAGAGGGUAAAACCCGUAGACAAAUGUGGAAGACACCUAGGAGGAUCCUGAGUACGGCGGAACACGAGAAAUUCCGUCGGAAUCCGGGAGGACCAUCUCCCAAGGCUAAAUACUCCUAGUGACCGAUAGUGAACCAGUACCGUGAGGGAAAGGUGAAAAGCACCCCGGAAGGGGAGUGAAAUAGAACCUGAAACCGUGUGCCUACAACAAGUCAAAGCCCGUUAAUGGGUGAUGGCGUGCCUUUUGUAGAAUGAACCGGCGAGUUACGAUUGCAUGCGAGGUUAAGUUGAAGAGACGGAGCCGCAGCGAAAGCGAGUCUGAAUAGGGCGUUUGAGUAUGUAGUCGUAGACCCGAAACCAUGUGAUCUACCCAUGUCCAGGUUGAAGGUGCGGUAAAACGCACUGGAGGACCGAACCCACGUACGUUGAAAGUGCGGGGAUGAGGUGUGGGUAGCGGAGAAAUUCCAAACGAACUUGGAGAUAGCUGUUCUCUCCCGAAAUAGCUUUAGGGCUAGCCUCGGAAUUGAGAAUGAUGGAGGUAGAGCACUGUUUGGACUAGGGGCCCAUCUCGGGUUACCGAAUUCAGAUAAACUCCGAAUGCCAUUCAUUCAUAUCCGGGAGUCAGACUGUGAGUGAUAAGAUCCAUAGUCGAAAGGGAAACAGCCCAGACCACCAGCUAAGGUCCCAAAUAUAUGUUAAGUGGAAAAGGAUGUGGGGUUGCACAGACAACUAGGAUGUUGCUUAGAAGCCAGCCACCAUUUAAAGAGUGCGUAAUAGCUCACUAGUCGAGUGACCCUGCGCCGAAAAUGUACCGGGGCUAAACAUAUUACCGAAGCUGUGGAGUACACCUUUAGGUGUAUUGGUAGGAGAGCGUUCUAAGGGCGUUGAAGGCAGAUCGUGAGGACUGCUGGAGCGCUUAGAAGUGAGAAUGCCGGUAUGAGUAGCGAAAGACAGGUGAGAAUCCUGUCCACCGAAUGACUAAGGUUUCCUGGGGAAGGCUCGUCCGCCCAGGGUUAGUCGGGACCUAAGCCGAGGCCGACAGGCGUAGGCGAUGGAUAACAGGUUGAUAUUCCUGUACCCGUUGUUUUUGUUUGAGCAAUGGAGGGACGCAGGAGGCUAAGGAAUGCAGACGAUCGAAAUGUCUGUCCAAGCAGUAAGUCUGAAGAGGAGUCAAAUGCUUCUUUUCUUAAGGACAAGCUGUGAUGGGGAGGGAAAUAAUAGUACCGAAGUUCCUGAUGUCACACUGCCGAGAAAAGCUUCUAGUGAGAAAACAGCGGCCCGUACCGCAAACCGACACAGGUAGUCGAGGAGAGAAUCCUAAGGUGAGCGAGAGAACUCUCGUUAAGGAACUCGGCAAAAUGACCCCGUAACUUCGGGAGAAGGGGUGCUGAUCAUACGAUCAGCCGCAGUGAAUAGGCCCAAGCGACUGUUUAUCAAAAACACAGGUCUCUGCAAAAUCGUAAGAUGAAGUAUAGGGGCUGACGCCUGCCCGGUGCUGGAAGGUUAAGAGGAGUGCUUAGCGCAAGCGAAGGUACGAAUUGAAGCCCCAGUAAACGGCGGCCGUAACUAUAACGGUCCUAAGGUAGCGAAAUUCCUUGUCGGGUAAGUUCCGACCCGCACGAAAGGCGUAACGAUUUGGGCACUGUCUCAACGAGAGACUCGGUGAAAUUUUAGUACCUGUGAAGAUGCAGGUUACCCGCGACAGGACGGAAAGACCCCAUGGAGCUUUACUGUAGUUUGAUAUUGAGUGUCUGUACCGCAUGUACAGGAUAGGUAGGAGCCGUAGAAAUCGGAACGCUAGUUUCGAUGGAGGCGCUGGUGGGAUACUACCCCUGCGUUAUGGCCACUCUAACCCGCACCACUAAUCGUGGUGGGAGACAGUGUCAGAUGGGCAGUUUGACUGGGGCGGUCGCCUCCUAAAAGGUAACGGAGGCGCCCAAAGGUUCCCUCAGAAUGGUUGGAAAUCAUUCGAAGAGUGUAAAGGCAGAAGGGAGCUUGACUGCGAGACCAACAAGUCGAGCAGGGACGAAAGUCGGGCUUAGUGAUCCGGUGGUUCCGCAUGGAAGGGCCAUCGCUCAACGGAUAAAAGCUACCCUGGGGAUAACAGGCUUAUCUCCCCAAGAGUCCACAUCGACGGGGAGGUUUGGCACCUCGAUGUCGGCUCGUCGCAUCCUGGGGCUGUAGUCGGUCCCAAGGGUUGGGCUGUUCGCCCAUUAAAGCGGCACGCGAGCUGGGUUCAGAACGUCGUGAGACAGUUCGGUCCCUAUCCGUCGCGGGCGUUGGAAAUUUGAGAGGAGCUGUCCUUAGUACGAGAGGACCGGGAUGGACUUACCGCUGGUGUACCAGUUGUUCUGCCAAGGGCAUUGCUGGGUAGCUAUGUAGGGAAGGGAUAAACGCUGAAAGCAUCUAAGUGUGAAGCCCACCUCAAGAUGAGAUUUCCCAUUUCUUUAAGAAAGUAAGAUCCCUGAGAGAUGAUCAGGUAGAUAGGUCAGGAGUGGAAGUACAGUGAUGUAUGGAGCGGACUGAUACUAAUCGAUCGAGGACUUAACCAA